ACUCAGUUGUCUUUUUUCAACGCCUACCCUAUAAAAACAGAAGUUAUCACCAAUGUGAGGAGGGAAGAUGGCAUGCUUUGGAAACAUAAAUCAGCAUAAAAAUGAUCUUUUUCUGUGCUUUGAAUGGAUCAUUAUGAGAAAAUCAAAUUUUAUAUGGUAGGCAGAUCCACAUUUGUUACCCAUUCAUGCAUAGACUUUUAGACACAUAACAAACUAAUAAUUUAACAUCAACAUCUCAUUUAAAAACUGUAAUUGUUCUCUUUAGUGGUUCAGUUCCUAAGUCCAAUAUUUAUUCCAAUCUUUCCAAUGGCAUUAAAUUUCUGCCUCAUUUGUAUUAAGGUUUCAUACUUUCAUCAGGCCUUUGAUAAUAAAAUGACAUAUUUAUUGCCUAACUUUUAUUAGCUUUGGCUUAAAGAUUCUUCAUAGAACUUCACUUAGGAAACUCAAUUCUCUUUAUAACAGAAAAAAGAAACAUUGCUUGCAAUACGAUUGUGAAUGUAGAUGGAAAUUUCGUCGUGAAAGUGCGGCGGAAAGAACCGUUUGAAAGAUUAGCCUCUUUAAGCAUGAACAGUAACUUUUAGCAAUUUUCACACCAUCUUGAUUACUGAGAGAUACUGACAUUUUAAAAUAGUUACAUUUUUUAUUUACAUAUAAUAUGUUAAGCCACUUUUCCUAUUCAGGAGAAUACACAAAUUUGAAGUGAGCCUGAUCUGUCUUCUCUCUUCUUACGAUUUAGAUCUUAAGUGGCCACCAGGAGUCGAUGUGUUAAAGGCUUGCUAAGAACAAUGAUGGGGUCCAGCAAGAGGUGUUCAAGAUCAUUAAAAAUGCUCUUAGGAAGAGAUUAUGUAACUCUAGCUCCUUUUUGCUUCAUGGCCAGAAAAUGUUUAAAUUAUAAUUAUCAAUUGCGGAGGGGAGCCUGGGAACAACUUUAUAGGGUUGUUUCUUUCCUUCCACAUUUACAUGGGGGUGCCUGCAGGGAUCAAACUUCAGUGACCACACUUGUGUGGCAGUCGCCUUUCUCCACUGACCAUCUGUCUCACUUCUGUUUGUACCCGUGAGGAGCUUUGCCCCAUUACAUGCUCUCUGCCAUCGCACUCCCCCUGGCUAGGGAAAGGAAUGAUUUGGAACUGGCACAGGAGAAAAGAAUGCGGAAGACCUUGACCUCGAAGUCUAGAAAAGUCUUGGGAUGGAAAGAGAAUUUGGUUCCUGGGCCUUAUGAAAAUCUUUCUGUUUGCAAAUAGAUUCAAGAUUCCUAAAGCAUCAAUACUGACCACUCACAACAAAUUUUGACACUGACAUUUUUCUCAUCUGGAGCAGGAACCUGUGCAGGAAGAUCAAAUUUUCAGUGAAAACAAAACAGAACUCAGUAGCAAAUGGACAAAGCACUCCAAGUUCCUGGCAUCAGAAGAAAAAAAUAUUAUAUAAGCCUGUGAGAAGACAAGCAUAGUUUUACAACUACAAAAUUAAAGAGAACAAUAAAUUUUUCUGUAAACAUAUAAGCAAAGAUUAAUAUUUGGUAUAAUGAAUUGCACACAGGGAAACAUGAAAAUAGCAUUG